CCCUUAGAUGUUCUGGGCCGCACGCGCGCUACACUGACGGAGUCAACGAGUUGUCCUGCAUCGGAAGGUGUGGGUAAUCUUUUGAAACUUCGUCGUGCUGGGGAUAGAUCUUUGCAAUUUUCGAUCUUGAACGAGGAAUUCCUAGUAAGCGUGAUUCAUCAGAUCGCGUUGAUUACGUCCCUGCCCUUUGUACACACCGCCCGUCGCUACUACCGAUUGAAUGGUUUAGUGAGGCCUCGGGACUGGCACGCUCGAGUAGCAAUACACCUGCGCGCCGGGAACUUGGUCAAACUUGAUCAUUUAGAGGAAGUAAAAGUCGUAACA
rnacentral:rRNA from 1 species